rnacentral:rRNA from 1 species
AUUGAACGCUGGCGGCAUGCCCUACACAUGCAAGUCGAACGGUAACAGGUCUUCGGAUGCUGACGAGUGGCGAACGGGUGAGUAAUACAUCGGAACGUGCCUAGUAGUGGGGGAUAACUACUCGAAAGAGUGGCUAAUACCGCAUGAGAUCUACGGAUGAAAGCAGGGGAUCGCAAGACCUUGUGCUACUAGAGCGGCCGAUGGCAGAUUAGGUAGUUGGUGGGAUAAAAGCUUACCAAGCCGACGAUCUGUAGCUGGUCUGAGAGGACGAUCAGCCACACUGGGACUGCGACACGGCCCAGACUCCUACGGGAGGCAGCAGUGGGGAAUUUUGGACAAUGGGCGAAAGCCUGAUCCAGCAAUGCCGCGUGCAGGAUGAAGGCCUUCGGGUUGUAAACUGCUUUUGUACGGAACGAAAAGCCCCGGGUUAAUACCCUGGGGUCGUGACGGUACCGUAAGAAUAAGCACCGGCUAACUACGUGCCAGCCGCCGCCGUAA